AAAACUUAGUCCUAACCUUACCAUUAGUUUUUGCUAAACAUGCACAUGCAAGUAUCUGGACCCAAAUGUAAAUGCCCUUAAUCCCUAUGUUGUAGGUAAAAGGAGCUGGUAUCAGGCAUGCUCAUUGCAGCCUAAGAUGCCUUACUUAGCCAUACUCCCAUGGGUACUCAGCAGUAAUUAACAUUAAGCAAUAAGUGUAAACUUGACUUAGUUAUAGCAACACUCAGGGUUGGUAAAUCUUGUGCCAGCCACUGCGGUCACACAAGAGACUCAAAUUAACCGUGUACAGCAUAAAGAGCGGUCCCAUAUUAUCACAAUAAUUAAGAUCAAAAUAUAGCUGAGCUGUCAUGAGCCUAAGGUGCAUUUAAAACCACCCUAAAGACAACCUUAACACUUAUGAUUAAAUCCCAUGAAAACUAGGACACAAACUGGGAUUAGAUACCCCAGUAUGCUUAACCCUAAAUCUUGAUGCUUACCAUACUAAAGCAUCUGCCCGAGGGCUAUGAGCACAAAUGCUUAAAACUCUAAGGACUCGGCGGUGCCCCAAACCCACCUAGAGGAGCCUGUUCUAUAAUCAACAACCCAUGAUACACCUGACCGCUUCUUGCUAAAAACAGCCUACAUACCAUGAUCGCCAGCUCACCUCCCACUAACCCCACUAAUAAGGCAGGUCAAGGUAUAGUCUAUGGAACAGAAGAAAUGGGUUACAUUUUCNNNNNNNNNNUGGAAAGGGGCAUGAAACAACCCAUAGAAGACAGAUUUAGCAGUAAAGUGGGAAAAUAAUGCCCCCUUUAAAUCAGCUCUGAGGCACAUACAUGCCACCCGUCAUUGUCUGCACAAGCUAUAAGUCCCUAUAAAUAAUACCCUCCUUCACCAAAGAUGAGGUAAGUCAUAACAAGGUAAGUGUACCGGAAGGUGCAGUUAGCACACCAAGAUG
rnacentral:ncRNA from 1 species